rnacentral:rRNA from 1 species
CCUACGGGAGGCUGCAGUGAGGAAUAUUGGUCAAUGGGCGCGAGCCUGAACCAGCCAAGUAGCGUGAAGGAUGACUGCCCUACGGGUUGUAAACUUCUUUUAUAAAGGAAUAUAGUGAGGCACGUGUGCCAUUUUGUAUGUACUUUAUGAAUAAGGAACGGCUAACUCCGUGCCAGCAGCCGCGGUAAUACGGAGGGUCCGAGCGUUAACCGGAUUUAUUGGGGUUAAAGGGGGCGUAGAUGGGUUGUUAAGUCAGUUGUGAAAGUUUGCGGCUCAACCGUAAAAUUGCAAUUGAAACUGGCAGUCUUGAGUACAGUUGAGGUAGGCGGAAUUCGUGGUGUAGCGGUGAAAUGCUUAGAUAUCACGAAGAACUCUGAUUGCGAAGGCAGCCUACUAAACUGCCACUGACAUUGAUGCUCGAAAGUGUGGGUAUCAAACAGGAUUAGAUACCCGGGUAGUC